rnacentral:lncRNA from 1 species
UCCCAAGUGUUAAAAUUUUAUUAUUAUAGUAAAAACAAUAUUAGAAUUUUUACUAUAAUUUGAUCAAACAGUUAUCUAAUUAUUACAUGCAAAGAAGAAAAAUUAUGGUUUCAAUUUUCAAGUUCUUAUAUGCUUUGGUUAUUUUUAUUUCUCUAUUUCUGGUUUUAAGCAACAGCAGUAAGUUAAUCUUUUUAACCAUUUUCAACACUUCUUAUGCAUAAUGUUUAACCACCUUUAAUAAUGUGUUCUUUUAACGUCGCAGCUCAGUUUCCUUUAACUCGAUCCCGUUCACCCCAAUUUCAAUGCAGUGAUGAUAAUGAUUGUCCAUGGGAUAUGUGUCUUCAUAUUAGUCUAGACCCAAUGUGCAUUAGUGAUGCUUGUGAGUGCUUGAUAGAUUUUUAACAAAAAAAUAAAUCUAUACUCCUUAUACUCAUAAGGAGCGUAUAGUUUUAUUGGUAAGUAAAGUUAAUAAAAAAUAAUUUAAAUUACUUUUAAACUUUUUUAAGAAAAAAAAGACAACAAGAUAAAACUCAAGAAUAAAAAAUUACAUAACAAUCAUCUUAUGAGUAGAGACUUUAAUACAAACAUUUAAUAAAAGAAAAGAAAUUUGAGCCGGGAUUUGCUCAUAAAACAUCAAAUAAGAAUCUAGAUCACACUCCAUGUUGGCAAAUGUAUCUGCACAAAUAUUCGACUCACGAUAAAUAUGAAAAAUACUCAUCUCCCAAUCCAGUUUGAGCAAUUGUUGAAUUUGUACCAAUCACAUUCAAAUUAUACUACCUGUUCAGAAUCCAAAAUAUUUUGAACAACCACUUUGGAAUCUAUAUGAAACUCAAUAGCUCGAAAUCUAAGCUCUUUUGAUAAUCUUAAUCUUUCUAACACACCCCAAAGUUCAAUAAUAUAUGCACUACAAGAACCUAAAAAUCUUGCGAAGCCUCCUUGCCACUCACCCAUACAACCUCUUAAAAGACCACCACAUUUAACUAUCAAGUCUUUCUUACUAUCUCUAUUCGCCUUCAAUCUCACCCAUCCCGAAGGAGGAGGAGACCACCCUCUCGAAAAAAAUCCAUCUUACUACCAUGCAACUCAGUUGCCAAAAAAUAUUCAUUAGUAACUUUAGUAACAUGUCGCCAUGAUAUUCUAGGUCUCAACAAAACUCUCUUCAUAUGGUUCCUUAAUUCCUCCACACCCAAAGUGCAUGGCAAGAGUUUGUCCAAAGUUCCAACCACGACGGAUCACCACUAAUACCAAAAUUCAAACGCAAAUUAGUAUCCACUCAUUUCUUAAUAUUACUAGUGAAAAAAUAGCCUCUCAUAUCCGACUUAACCACAUUAAUCCAAAUAGAAAAAGACAAAGGACAAUCACGUAAGACAUGUGUAAUCGAUUCAACCUUUGUUCCAUAGUGACUAAAAAAAGGACCUCCUAGUUGCAUUUUAUUUUUCCUCUCAU